rnacentral:rRNA from 1 species
GCGUGGGGAUCGAACAGGAUUAGAUACCCUGGUAGUCCACGCCGUAAACGAUGAUUACUCGCUGUUGGCGAUACACUGUCAGCGGCUAAGCAAAAGCAAUAAGUAAUCCACCUGGGGAGUACGGCCGCAAGGUUGAAACUCAAAGGAAUUGACGGGGGCCCGCACAAGCGGAGGAACAUGUGGUUUAAUUCGAUGAUACGCGAGGAACCUUACCUGGGCUUAAAUGUAGAGUGCAUUUUCUAGAGAUAGAAAUUCCCUUCGGGGCUUUCUGCAAGGUGCUGCAUGGUUGUCGUCAGCUCGUGCCGUGAGGUGUCGGGUUAAGUCCCAUAACGAGCGCAACCCUUAUCGUUAGUUGCCAGCUGGUAAAGCAGGGGACUCUAGCGAAACUGCCACCGUAAGGUGAGAGGAAGGUGGGGAUGACGUCAAAUCAGCACGGCCCUUAUGUCCAGGGCUACACACGUGUUACAAUGGCCGGUACAGAGGGCAGCUACCUGGUGACAGGAUGCGAAUCUCGAAAGCCGGUCUCAGUUCGGAUCGGAGUCUGCAACUCGACUCCGUGAAGCUGGAUUCGCUAGUAAUCGCGCAUCAGCCAUGGCGCGGUGAAUACGUUCCCGGGCCUUGUACACACCGCCCGUCAAGCCAUGGAAGCUGGGGGUGCCUGAAGUCCGUCACCGUGAGGAGCGGCCUAGGGUAAAACCAGUGACUGGGGCUAAGUCGUAACAAGGUAGCCGUACCGGAAGGUGCGGCUG